rnacentral:rRNA from 1 species
AUUGAACGCUGGCGGCAUGCCUUACACAUGCAAGUCGAACGGUAACGCGGGGCAACCUGGCGACGAGUGGCGAACGGGUGAGUAAUGUAUCGGAACGUGCCCAGUUGUGGGGGAUAACUGCUCGAAAGAGCAGCUAAUACCGCAUACGACCUGAGGGUGAAAGCGGGGGAUCGCAAGACCUCGCGCAAUUGGAGCGGCCGAUAUCAGAUUAGGUAGUUGGUGGGGUAAAGGCCCACCAAGCCAACGAUCUGUAGCUGGUCUGAGAGGACGACCAGCCACACUGGGACUGAGACACGGCCCAGACUCCUACGGGAGGCAGCAGUGGGGAAUUUUGGACAAUGGACGCAAGUCUGAUCCAGCCAUGCCGCGAGCGGGAAGAAGGCCUUCGGGUUGUAAACCGCUUUUGUCAGGGAAGAAACGCUCUGGGUUAAUACCUCGGGGUAAUGACGGUACCUGAAGAAUAAGCUCCGGCUAACUACGUGCCAGCCGCCGCAGUAA